rnacentral:rRNA from 1 species
UGAAAACUUAAAAUUUAAAAGACUUGACGGUACUUCACACCAACCUAGAGGAGCCUGUCUAAUAACCGAUAAUCCACGAUUAACCCAACCCCUUCUAGCCCAACAGUCUAUAUACCGCCGUCGCCAGCUUACCUUGUGAAAGAAACAAAGUAAGCCCAACAGCACCACACUAACACGACAGGUCGAGGUGUAACUAAUGAAGGGGCUAAGAUGGGCUACAUUUCUUAAACUAAGACAAACGAACAGACUAUGAAACUAGAAACCGAAGGAGGAUUUAGCAGUAGGCUAAGAGCAAAAUACUUAGCCGAAGUAAACGCAAUGAAGUGCGC